rnacentral:miRNA from 1 species
CCCCAGAUGUUGCUGAAGUACAACUCCCGUGAUUCUCUGGCUAUCUAUGCAAUUCAAAGAAUCAUGGGAGUUGUAGUUCAGCAACAUCUGGGG